GACGAACGCUGGCGGCGUGCUUAACACAUGCAAGUCGAACGGAAAGGCCCUGCUUUUGUGGGGUGCUCGAGUGGCGAACGGGUGAGUAACACGUGAGUAAACUGCCCUUGACUUUGGGAUAACUUCAGGAAACUGGGGCUAAUAUCCGAUAGGAGCUCCUGCUGCAUGGUGGGGGAUGGAAAGUUUCGGCGGUUGGGGAUGGAUUCGCGGCUUAUCCGCCUGUUGGUGGGGUAGUGGCUUACGAAGGGUUUGACGGGUAGCCGGCCUGGGCGCGUGACCGGCCUCAUGGGGACUGAGAGACGGCCCAGUCGGCUACGUGAGGCAGCAGGGGGGAAUAUGGCACAACGGCCGGGAGCCAGAGACAGCAAUCUCGCGUGCGGGAUGACCGCCUUCGGGUGGUAAACCGCUGUCGCCGGUGACGAAGCGUUAGUGACGGUAAUGGGUAAGGAAGCACCGGCUAACUACGUG
rnacentral:rRNA from 1 species